GACGAACGCUGGCGGCGUGCUUAACACAUGCAAGUCGAACGAUGAACCUGGAGCUUGCUCCGGCGGAUUAGUGGCGAACGGGUGAGCAACACGUGAGUAACCUGCCCUUGACUCUGGGAUAACUGCGGGAAACUGUAGCUAAUACCGGAUACGACCCUCGGCGGCAUCGCCAGGGGGUGGAAAGAAUUUCGGUCAAGGAUGGACUCGCGGCCUAUCAGCUUGUUGGUGGGGUGAUGGCCUACCAAGGCGACGACGGGUAGCCGGCCUGAGAGGGUGACCGGCCACACUGGGACUGAGAUACGGCCCAGACUCCUACGGGAGGCAGCAGUGGGGAAUAUUGCACAAUGGGCGCAAGCCUGAUGCAGCGACGCCGCGUGAGGGAUGACGGCCUUCGGGUUGUAAACCUCUUUCAGCACCGACGAAGCGCAAGUGACGGUAGGUGCAGAAGAAGGACCGGCCAACUACGUGCCAGCCGCCGCAGUAA
rnacentral:rRNA from 1 species